AUUGAACGCUGGCGGCAGGCCUAACACAUGCAAGUCGAGCGAGCGGCGGACGGGUGCGUAAUGUAUGGGGACUGCCCGAUAGCGGGGGAUAACUACUGGAAACGGUUGCUAAUACCGCAUACUAUCGGCUACCCCAUAUGGGAUUAGCUAGUAGGUGCGGUAAUGGCUCACCUAGGCGACGAUCCCUAGCUGGUCUGAGAGGAUGAUCAGCCACACUGGGACGGAGACACGGCCCAGACUCCUACGGAGGCAGCAGUGGGGAAUAUUGCACAAUGGGUGCAAGCCUGAUAGAGCCAUGCCGCGUGUAUGAAGAAGGCCCUAGGGUUGUAAAGUACUUUCAGUCGGGAGGCGUUACCGACAGAAGAAGCACCGGCUAACUCCGUGCCAGCAGCCGCGGUAAUUC
rnacentral:rRNA from 1 species